CGGAUCAGACUAAAUGAGUUCCAGUACAAAUAAAGAAGCGGAGAAAUUGCAGCAAGCGGCUGGCAAGAUAUUCCACGACAGCGAGACAGAUGUGCUGUGACACUCCAUCCCCAACAAUUGAUGCUGCAUGUUCAAGAGCAGAUUUAAUAAUACAGGUGCUAGAGACUCGCUUAAAUAGGAAAGCUGGUGGACUAAUUGGCUUGAACUUCAGGGACCACAAUUUGAGCUUGGAGUUUGGCAGCUUAACAUCAGUGAGCUUUCCAAAGGCUUGUUGCUAAAGCAAAUCCCCGUGAACUGAAAUGAGGCUCAAGGAUACUACCAGAGCAUCUUGAUUUUGAUUUGAUGUAUCAGAGAUCUCCAAGUAGAAGAAGGAAGAGAUCUCAAUUCCUGGCCUGUGAGGUGUCAAGUACUGCUAUGCGGCCACACCAUGAUCUACUGGGCAGUCCGUCAAACCAGGAUGAGCCACUUCGGUACGCACUUGGGCCUAGGUGAUAUUGCCUGUUUCCAUUGGAUGGGAAGGUGGAGUCUUUGCUGGCACGGCCUGCUGCCAGUACUGUUUAA